AAAAUUAAAUACAGUAAAGAUGUCAGAGGAAACGUUGGUCAACUUUGUAAUCGUGCCAAAUAAACGUGCGAAAGCUGAUGCAUGGUUGCAUUUUGGGUUCAAGAAAGACAAAAAAAAAAAAAAAAAACCCACAACGAAAUAGACAGGGACUGGCCUAAGUUGUACAGAUGACUGGUAUGUUUACAGACAACACACUUCGUAACAGAAUACCGUAUAACGCAUUGUCUAGGAGUCACCAGGGUGUAGCUACCACGGAUCUCGCACAGAUAAAAGCCGAGACGUUUUUGGAAAAUGCUUCUGACAUUUAAAUGCAAUUGUUAUCUUCGAGCUGUAUGUUUAACAUGUUUUUGUAUGGAUAUUUUUAUACCCCCGUAAUUUGAAGGGGGGCAUAUAUAAUUUUUGGUCAGUCUGUCUGUCAGUAAGACCUUUCACCUUAGCCAAAACGUUUGAGUGGAUGGUGAAGGGGCUUUCCGAUUUCUCAUGUGUAUACCUUGUGACAACACCUUUUUUCAACGGAAAAACCCUAACCGUGGCGAUUAUCAACUUUGCUGCCUUUUGAAGGCAUCGGUGUUUCACAUAUCUUUUUGUAUCAUUUAAUGUUGUUUGUUUGUUUUUCAUUCUGUGUUUUUUUUUUCUUCCUUCCUUUUGAUUUAAACAGGAAAUGUGUAAAAUAAAUGAAAUUUCAAAUGUUAGAUAAAACGAAACAAAA